GGACAGGUGGCCGAGUGGUCAAUGGCAGCAGACUGUAAAUCUGCCCGCGCAAGCGUUCGCUGGUUCAAAUCCAGCCCUGUCCACCA
rnacentral:tRNA from 4 species